GAUUCAUAAUAACUUCUCGAAUCGCAUGGCCUUGCGCCGGCGAUGGUUCAUUCAAAUUUCUGCCCUAUCAACUUUCGAUGGCAGGGUCUUGGCCUGCCAUGGUUACAACGGGUAACGGAGGGUUAGGGCUCGACCCCGGAGAAGGAGCCUGAGAAACGGCUACUACAUCCAAGGAAGGCAGCAGGCGCGCAAAUUACCCAAUCCCGAUUCGGGGAGGUAGUGACAAUAAAUACUGAUACAGGGCUCUUUUGGGUCUUGUAAUUGGAAUGAGUACAAUUUAAAUCCCUUAACGAGGAACAAUUGGAGGGCAAGUCUGGUGCCAGCAGCCGCGGUAAUUCCAGCUCCAAUAGCGUAUAUUAAAGUUGUUGCAGUUAAAAAGCUCGUAGUUGAACCUUGGGCCUGGCUGGCCGGUCCGCCUCACCGCGUGCACUGGUUCGGCCGGGCCUUUCCCUCUGGGGAGCCUCAUGCCCUUCACUGGGUGUGCUGGGGAACCAGGACUUUUAC
rnacentral:rRNA from 1 species